rnacentral:rRNA from 1 species
AUUGAACGCUGGCGGCAUGCCUUACACAUGCAAGUCGAACGGGCUUUGGGGCUUGCCUCAAAGUUAGUGGCGAACGGGUGAGUAAUAUAUCGGAACGUACCCUAGAGUGGGGGAUAACUAGUCGAAAGACUGGCUAAUACCGCAUACGAUCUAAGGAUGAAAGUGGGGGACCGCAAGGCCUCAUGCUCAUGGAGCGGCCGAUAUCUGAUUAGCUAGUUGGUGGGGUAAAGGCCUACCAAGGCGACGAUCAGUAGCUGGUCUGAGAGGACGAUCAGCCACACUGGGACUGAGACACGGCCCAGACUCCUACGGGAGGCAGCAGUGGGGAAUUUUGGACAAUGGGCGAAAGCCUGAUCCAGCAAUGCCGCGUGAGUGAAGAAGGCCUUCGGGUUGUAAAGCUCUUUUGUCAGGGAAGAAAAGGUGGGGGCUAAUAUCUCCUGCUCAUGACGGUACCUGAAGAAUAAGCACCGGCUAACUACGUGCCAGCCGCCGCAGUAAUAC